ACGGCUCAGUAACACGUGGAUAACCUGCCCUAUGCUCUGGGAUAACCUCGGGAAACUGAGAAUAAUACCGGAUAGAUCACAACGCCUGGAACGGUGUGUGGUUGAAAGGUUACGGCAUAGGAUGGGUCUGCGGCGUAUCAGGUUGUAGGGGGUGUAAUGGACCCCCUAGCCAUCGACGCGUACGGGUGUUGGGAGACAUAGCCCGGAGACGGAUUCUGAGACACGAAUCCGGACCCUACGGGGUGCAGCAGGCGCGAAAACUUCACACUGCAGGAAACUGUGAUGAGGGAACUCCAAGUGGAUGCACAUAGUGUAUCUCUUUUCUUUACUAUUAAUCGGUAUUGGAAUAAGGGCUGGGAAAGACCGGUGCCAGCCGCCGCGGUAAUACCGGCAGCUCGAGUGGUCGUCGCUUUUAUUGGGCCUAAAACGUCCGUAGCCGGUUUGGUAAAUCCGUGGGUAAAUCAACUAGCUUAACUAGUUGAAUUCUGCAGAGACUGCCAGACUAGGAACCGGGAGAGGUGUGGGGUACUCAAGGGGUAGGGGUAAAAUCCUGUCAUCCUUUGAGGACCACCAGUUGCGAAGGCGCCACACUAGAACGGAUUCGACGGUCAGGGACGAAGCCUAGGGGCACGAACCGGAUUAGAUACCCGGGUAGUCCUAGGUGUAAACGCUGUGAACUUGGUGUCGGGAGUCCGCAAUGGGCCCCCGGUGCCGGAGUGAAGAUGUUAAGUUCACUGCCUGGGGAGUACGGUCGCAAGGCUGAAACUUAAAGGAAUUGGCGGGGGAGCAC
rnacentral:rRNA from 1 species